AUGGCCAAGGCGCUGCUCUCCUCCUCGCUGCUCCCCUCGCUCCCGCGCGCCGUCGCGGGCGCCGGCGCCGCGAGGCUGCCGCCGCUCCCCUCGCUGCGCCGCCGCGCCGCGGGGUGCCGGGUCAGGGCCAGCCUCCACGGGCUCGACUCCGUGGGAGGCCUCCACGCGGCGCUCGAGCGCGCCGAGGCCGCGCUCUACACGCUCGCCGACGCCGCGGUCGUCGCCGCCGACUCGGCGGCCGGGGCGGCCGGAGGAGGAGAGGACGCGGGCGCGGCCGUGCAGAAGAGCGGCGGCUGGUUCGGGUUCAUCUCCGACGCCAUGGAGGUCGUGCUCAAGAUUCUGAAGGAUGGUCUCUCAGCAGUUCAUGUGCCCUACGCUUAUGGGUUUGCCAUCAUUCUGCUCACCAUUGUCGUGAAGGCUGCAACAUUGCCGUUAACGAAGCAGCAGGUCGAAUCAACCAUGGCGAUGCAGAAUUUGCAGCCACAGCUCAAGGCAAUUCAGGCGAGAUACGCAGGCAAUCAGGAAAGAAUACAGCUUGAGACUGCUCGUUUGUACAAGCAAGCUGGAGUCAAUCCUCUAGCAGGAUGUUUGCCAACUUUGGCAACAAUCCCAGUCUGGAUUGGACUUUACCAAGCCCUUUCAAAUGUAGCAAAUGAGGGUUUGUUGACAGAAGGAUUUUUCUGGAUUCCAUCUUUGGGAGGCCCUACAACUAUUGCUGCUCGUCAAAGUGGUGCUGGCAUUUCAUGGCUCUUUCCUUUUGUGGAUGGUCAUCCACCAAUAGGCUGGCAUGAUACGAUAUGUUAUCUUGUGUUGCCCGUGCUACUCGUUGCUUCUCAGUUUGUCUCCAUGGAGAUCAUGAAACCACCCCAGAGUACUGAUCCAUCGCAGAAGAAUACACAACUUAUUUUGAAAUUUCUUCCAUUUAUGAUUGGUUACUUCUCUUUGUCGGUGCCAUCAGGAUUGUCCAUUUAUUGGUUUACAAACAAUGUCCUCAGUACAGCCCAGCAGAUAUGGUUGCGGAAACUGGGAGGAGCAAAGCCUGCUGUGAAUGAGGGAGCAAGUGGAAUUAUAACUGCAGGACGAGCAAAACGUUCAGGUGCUCAAUCAGGCCAGGGUGGAGAAAGGUUUAAGCAGCUAAAAGAAGAGGAGAACAGGAGAAAAGCUGUGAAAGCACUUGGUGCAGGAGAUUCAAAUGGUUCAACUACAUCAGAGGAUGAAGAGUCGGACGACGAUACCACAGAGGAGCAGGGAGGACCUGUAGAGGAAACAUUCGCUACCGGCAACGACAAGAAACUGCCUACUUACUCUGGAAAGAAGGGGAAAAGGUCAAAGAGGAAGCGCAUAGCGCAGUAA
rnacentral:rRNA from 1 species